rnacentral:rRNA from 1 species
AGAGUUUGAUCCUGGGCUCAGAAUCAACGCUGGCGGCGCGCCUAACACAUGCAAGUCGCACGAGAAAGCGGGAGCAAUCUCGCAAGUACAGUGGCGUACGGGUGAGUAACACGUGGAUCAUCUACCCUGGAGUGGGGAAUAACGCUGGGAAACCGGCGCUAAUACCGCAUAUUCCCGAGAGGGGAAAGCAGCAAUGCGCUCGAGGAGGAGUCCGCGGCCGAUUAGCUAGUUGGUAGGGUAAAAGCCUACCAAGGCUGUGAUCGGUAGCCGGCCUGAGAGGGCACACGGCCACACUGGCACUGAAACACGGGCCAGACUCCUACGGGAGGCAGCAGUGGGGAAUCUUGCACAAUGGGGGAAACCCUGAUGCAGCGACGCCGCGUGAGCGAUGAAGCCCUUCGGGGUGUAAAGCUCUUUCGGCAGGGAAGAUUAUGACGGUACCUGCAGAAGCAUUCGCC